GAACACGGAUCAUAACUCACGU
rnacentral:miRNA from 1 species